UACAGAGGUCUCAAGCGUUGUUCGGAUUCAUUGGGCGUAAAGGGUGCGUAGGUGGCGCCGUAAGUCAGGUGUGAAAUUUCGGAGCUUAACUCCGAAACUGCAUUUGAUACUGCGGUGCUUGAGGACUGGAGAGGAGACUGGAAUUUACGGUGUAGCAGUGAAAUGCGUAGAGAUCGUAAGGAAGACCAGUGGGGAAGGCGGGUCUCUGGACAGUUCCUGACACUGAGGCACGAAGGCCAGGGGAGCGAACGGG
rnacentral:rRNA from 1 species